rnacentral:rRNA from 1 species
AACGAACGCUGGCGGCAUGCCUAACACAUGCAAGUCGAACGAGACCUUCGGGUCUAGUGGCGCACGGGUGCGUAACGCGUGGGAACCUGCCCUUAGGUUCGGAAUAACUCCCCGAAAGGGGUGCUAAUACCGGAUAAUGUCUUCGGACCAAAGAUUUAUCGCCUUUGGAUGGGCCCGCGUUGGAUUAGCUAGUUGGUAGGGUAAAAGCCUACCAAGGCGACGAUCCAUAGCUGGUCUGAGAGGAUGAUCAGCCACACUGGGACUGAGACACGGCCCAGACUCCUACGGGAGGCAGCAGUGGGGAAUAUUGGACAAUGGGCGAAAGCCUGAUCCAGCAAUGCCGCGUGAGUGAUGAAGGCCUUAGGUUUGUAAAGCUCUUUUACCCGGGAUGAUAAGGACAGGACCGGGAGAAUAAGCUCCGGCGAACUCCGU